CCAUAGCCUCAGGCACUGCAUUGAGUCACUUUUCCCACAAGUUGAUAUGAGCUCCAUCUCAAAGGAAAGAAAAACUCUCUUCAAGCUGGAAGAAUGAUCACAAUGUCAGCAGAGAGGCAGGGAAAGAACUAAUUUCAGCACUGUCCUGGAAACCAACUGGGUCUUCAGGUCCCUGACAUUCUUUCGAGGUUUCAUCAUGGAUACAACUCAGGCGUUUCCUUUGCAGAGGCAUAUUCCUCUCUGUGAGAGAUCACUCUGAAGCCUCUCUGAGGAUGGAAUUCCAUGACUCACCCCCUCUUACAUCAGGAUCAAAGUUACCGCUCUGUGUAUUCACUCCUAACUAAUACACUCAGCUGGCAUUAUUUCCUAAA